rnacentral:lncRNA from 1 species
AUGAAUCCUAUCUCCCUGACAUUGCAGUGGAGUAGAUUGAAGCACCAGUUCCUAUACCUCUAAAGAUGCAGCAGGAAGGAACGAAGCUACUUGAAGAGGAAGAACGCCAAUGUCCAUAUGACCAGGAAAAAAUUGGUCUUUUUAAGUCCUUACUCCAUUCUUGUUCCACGAUAACGAGCAAAGAGGGGGAGCUAUAAUACCAAUUAUUUGCCCUAGCCCGCAUGCAGAACCAAAACAAAAAAACAAAAUAAACGACCUAGUUUUUACAAAGCCCAAUUACUAACCUAAGCCUAAUUACCCAAACAACUAACCCAAACCCCCAAAACACCGAAACCUAAGCAAGUAGCAGUAGGUUUGGUGCCGCAGCAUUCAGCCCCCUAGUAGUCUUCAGCAUCGCCAGCAAGACGCCAAUCGACGCACGUUUCAGAACCAACCACUCCCCACGAUACCUGCAAACACGAACUAAGAGUCCAAAAAGAAAAUAUUGUAAAAAUAAAGCAUUUUAUCGAGCUAUAUAAAGCCAAAUUUGUAUACUGAAAAGGGGAGAAUACUGUAAAUUGAGAGAUUGAAAAUAGAGAAAUAGAAUCAAAAGAGGUGAAUUGCAUAUCUGUUUUUUUUAUUUUCGGUGUUUUAUCUAUUUUUUGUUUUUAUAUUGAAUAAAAAAAUAAAAAUAUUACCUCCGGGGUUUCACCGUUGAGACCCAUGUCUGCUUCGCCUGAAUCGGAGCUGGAUUUGGUGCCGGGAUUUGGAUCGGCCGAAUCACCUGAGAACGGCGGCGCGAAGGGCGGGUUGAAAGAAACCCUAGCAGAGAAGAGGGGCUGCACCUUUUGUUUUAAAUUUUUAUGCUGCAAAUGUUUUGUUUUGGGAAAUAAAAUUGUUUUAAAAAGUAGAGCAAAACGGCGCUGUUUGGUGCCUUGACCUGCGCAGUGACCCGACCCGGAGGGGAGGAUCCGCGCGUUCUGGCCUGAAUGGGGAAAUUACGCGUUUAGUCCCCCUUUUUUUGCGUUGUGUUUCAAUUAAACUCAUUUGUUUCUUUUUAAAUUGAGCCGCAUAUUUAAUUUUUGUUUCAAUUUAGCCCAUCGCUGCGCAGCAUUUUGGAAGGCGGGGAUAAUUUCC